UAUGCAUGUCAAAAAAAUCCAUGGCUCUGAUACCACUGUUAGAAAUUAGGGUAGUUUCAUGCAUGUAUUUCAAAAUAUUUUUGAAUGCAGCGUAAGAGAUCUAGAUUAAACCCUUUUAACCCACCAUGCAUUAGAUCUAAUCUAUAAACUACCCAUGCCUAGAUCUAUGACAUACAUAAUCUAAAAUAUAGAACAUGUAUUUGAGAUUAGAUCUCAAUACCUUAGUGUAGGUUGAACUUUAUCACAGCUGAUGAUCGUAGAUUCGAAGGUUCUUUGAGCCGCACACGUAUCUGACCUCUGUAGGUAUUCAUUAGGAUCAAUCUUGAAUCUUUCUUCUCAUUGUAGAUUCAUCUUCUCCAAGAUAAAUCAUAGCCUUUUGGAUCCUUGAUCAAUGAUUGAUCUUCAUCCAUGAUCUUAAUGCUUGAAUCACAGUCUUUCCCCUUUUCUUUUGGUGUAGAAGAAAUUGCCUAACCACUUUGGGUGUGUGGAGAAGUGGGAUGCCCAACCUUUAGGCAUUGGACAGAGAGAAGAAGGAGAGGAGGGCAUGG
rnacentral:lncRNA from 1 species